rnacentral:lncRNA from 1 species
AGGUGAGUAACAUCUCACUAAGGUCCACUUUCGGACCAAUUAUUAUAAUUAUGAUGAUGAUGAUGAUGAUGAUUUUUAUGAAGAUGAUUAUGAUGAUGAUUGUGAUGUUGUUUGUGAUGAGGAUGAUGAUGAUGAUUUAAUGUUAUGCUUUUUAGAUAAGUGUGAUGAUGAUGAUGAUGAUGAUGAUGAUUUUUAUGAGGAUGAUUGUGAUGAUGAUGAUGUUGUUGAUGAUGAGGUUGAAUUAAAGAAUUGGUUAUUGUUUGUUUUAAAAAUAUAUGAGCUUGAUCACCAACGGUUCAUAGGUAAGUUAAAACGAGUUAGAUAGUCAAACCGGGUUCCAAGCCUUUAAUCGGGUGAUUGGUUGCGGUUAUGAUGAUUCUACUCUUUUUGUGAAUUGUUGUGUAGAUAGUCAAACUGGGUUCCAAGCCUUUAAUCGGGUGAUUGGUUACAGUUAUGACGCUAUUAUUAUUUUGUGUUGUGAUAUUGGACAGUCAAACCGGGUUCCAAGCCUUUGGCCGGGUGAUUGGUUACGGUUAGGAAUAGAGCUCUAGUCCGUCUGUCAGUGUAGGUCAUGGGAGGUACCUGAAGGUAUCUGGGACCCAUGGGUACAUAAUUUGUGUUGUAGGUCAUGAGAGGUAUUUAUUAAUAUCUGGGACUCAUGGGUACAUGUGUUUGUAAGAGUAUUAGUUAUGUGGUGUUUAACCUUGUUCUUAAUUGUUGUCGAUGAAAUUCUUUGUUUUGAGUCUCUCCUGAACUAUGCUUAAUGCAGGAGAUUCUCCAAUUUAAAUGUGUGACUUUGAGUGGAAUUCCUGAACUAUCAUUUUUGCAGGAUCCACUUAUGAUUUGAUUGUUUUGGAAAUUGUUGUGUGUUUGUUCUUGUUUUACUCUUUUGAAUUUUAUUGUUUUGAGGUGAUUCCUGAACUAAGUUCUAAAGCAGGAAUUACCAGUUUUAUCUUGUGUGGUG